rnacentral:rRNA from 1 species
AUUGAACGCUGGCGGCAGGCCUAACACAUGCAAGUCGAGCGGAUGAAGGGAGCUUGCUCCUGGAUUCAGCGGCGGACGGGUGAGUAAUGCCUAGGAAUCUGCCUGGUAGUGGGGGAUAACGUCCGGAAACGGGCGCUAAUACCGCAUACGUCCUGAGGGAGAAAGUGGGGGAUCUUCGGACCUCACGCUAUCAGAUGAGCCUAGGCCGGAUUAGCUAGUUGGUGGGGUAAAGGCCUACCAAGGCGACGAUCCGUAACUGGUCUGAGAGGAUGAUCAGUCACACUGGAACUGAGACACGGUCCAGACUCCUACGGGAGGCAGCAGUGGGGAAUAUUGGACAAUGGGCGAAAGCCUGAUCCAGCCAUGCCGCGUGUGUGAAGAAGGUCUUCGGAUUGCAAAGCACUUUAAGUUGGGAGGAAGGGCAGUAAGUUAAUACCUUGCUGUUUUGACGUUACCAACAGAAUAAGCACCGGCUAACUUCGUG